AGCAGCCGCGGUAAUUCCAGCUCCAAUAGCGUAUAUUAAAGUUGUUGCAGUUAAAAAGCUCGUAGUUGAAUUUCGGGAUCAGUUGGUCGGUCGUGCCUCGGUACGUACUGGUCAAAUUGAUUCCUACCUUCUGACGAACCACGAUGUCAUUAAUUUGGUGUCGCGGGAAAUCAGGACUGUUACUUUGAAAAAUUAGAGUGUUUAAAGCAGGCUCGCGCUUGAAUACAUUAGCAUGGAAUAAUGAAAUAGGACGUUUGAUUCUAUUUUGUUGGUUUCUAGGAUCGACGUAAUGAUUAAUAGGGAUAGUUGGGGGCAUUAGUAUUCAAUUGUCAGAGGUGAAAUUCUUGGAUUUAUUGAAGACUAACUACUGCGAAAGCAUUUGCCAAGGAUGUUUUCAUUAAUCAAGAACGAAAGUUAGGGGGAUCGAAGACGAUCAGAUACCGUCGUAGUCUUAACCAUAAACUAUGCCGACUAGGGAUCGGAUGAUGUUAAUUUUUUAAUGUACUCAUUCGGCGCCUUA
rnacentral:misc_RNA from 1 species